UUUUUUCCUCUUUAGUUCAGUUCUCUGUGGAACUAGUUUUGAAUUAUUUCUUAAUUUAUUAUCCAAGUGUUUGAGUGAUCGUACCCACAGCAGCCAGAUAUAGAGACAGCUCAAAACAAGGGUUUAUUUAAAGAUUUCAUGUAAGAAAGUAUUAGAAUUGUCCAGUGAAGGUUUUAGCAAUAUGAUAUCAGUCUUUCUGACUCUUUGUCAUUCUUGUGACCUUGAGGAUAUUGAAGUGGGUCAGCAGUUUUAUACAUCUCUGGAGUAUCAGCAGUUAUCUUCAACUUCUGAAAAGAAUUUGAAAAUUAUGUGAAAAGGCAUGG